AAGUUUGGCCGAAUUCGGCCGAAAAUGGCCAACCCGAGGCAGAUCGCCGCCAUGGGCGGCGGUGUCGUCGCCGGAGCACGGUGGAGCCGAUUCUGAUAUUGGUCGAAAAGGGGCCAUGGGUCUGAUUUGGAAUUUUUUGGGACACGUGCAGGUACUGGUAGUGCGUUUCAGUUUUCUGGAGAAAAUUCAGGGAAUUUAGGGACAGCCCGUAGGCGCACUGUAGAGCCGAUUUUAGACCCUGAAACAAGUAAGGAUCUCUCAUCC
rnacentral:lncRNA from 1 species